GAAAAGAAAAUGAGUGGCCCUGGAAGUAGGCAAAGCAGAAAGAGUUUCAAAAGAGGAAUGAUCAAUAGGAUCACAUAUAACAGGGAAGUCUAGAGACUGAGAAGUGAAUGUUGGAUUUGGAUAUUAGACUACUGGUGACAUUAGCAAGAGAAAUUUUAGUGGAGCUAUGCGGGCCGAGGUCAGGCUGCCAUUGGUCCAGAAUAGUGAAUUGUAAUGAAGAAGUAGAAAUUGAGCAUUGAUGACAUUCAUGACUCUUCCAAGAGCCUAGACACAAGGUGGUAAAGGUGGACAGAAUUGAGGAAGACUUUUGUUUAAGAUAGAAUAGGCUUUGGCAUGUUUAUAUGCUGAGGGAUUAAAGAUCAAAGAGGGCAAGGCUCAAUACAUAGGGAAGAAUAGUGGAUGACAGGAGACUGGGAACACAGAAGCCUGGGAGCUCUUGGAAAGAGGGGUAACACUUCCUCUGAACUAGAAGGAAGGUUAGGUACACACAUAUACGGGUAAGGGGAAAUAGCAGUGGGAGCUUGAAUAAAGAUGUCUGAUAUUAUAAACUUAUGAAGCAAUAACAGUUAUUUGUUUGUGGGGAAGAAAGAGUUGUCUAGGAGAGAGUCAAGAAUAGUGGAAUAGCCAUUGUGGGUUGUGGACUAGCCAUUGAAGGUUUUGGAAAUGAGGCUGCUCUUGAGGUGGUUGACCACAAAUAUCUAAAAGCUUUUAUAUUGUGGUUUUAUUGUUUUCUCUGAUCUAACCCACAGACACAGUUAAAGGGCAGAGAUGUGUGAUAACAGUCCAGGUUCCAGGUUGGAGGUUUGUCAAACAGGUGUGGCUAAAGGACUAGUGGUUAAGGGAGUUAAUGGUCCUGGUGAGAACAGUGGGGAUGAUGCACCUUAAGUCUGCAAAGGCUAGGGAAGGAAUUACGAAGUGUGGUGGGAGUGCUGUCUAUCAGAGGAGGUUGUGGGGGCAGGCAUGGUAAUCUUGCACAAAUACAAGGAAUAAAGUAGUAAGGUUAGAGAAAGUUCUGAAAAAGGAAAAUGAGAAUUUAGGAUCACAAAAUUCUCUAUUGUGAAAUAGCCUGAUGUGUAACCCUAGAAGCAAAUGUUCAAAACUGAGUAGAUGUAAAAAGCUGUAAGCAAUUAUGGCAAGGGUAUUUGGUGGGCUUUACUCUAGAACACUGAAAUCAUCCAGGAUGAUGGUGGGACAUGAGGUAGAAGGAAACAGAGAGAUUGGUACCCAAGACUGGGGAAUCUGGGACAUUAACUAUAACCAUGGCCACAAAUGAUAAAAGUUAAAAUAGUUGGAUCCAUACAUUUUGGUAAUAAGGGAUUUUUGUAUAGGAUGGGAAGAAGCAAUGGUGCAGAAGCAGAAGUGAGGACCUGGGAGAACAUCCUCUGACCGUUUGUACAAGUCUGCAUAAUAUGGGCACAUGAGCACAUGUUCAGCCUUUUGUGGAGGGAAGGAAGUGUUCUCACGCGAGUUUUCUUGAAGUCCAGGAAAUGGCAACAAUAUUCAGUGAAGAGACUGGGACUGCAGGGGAGUUUAUAAGGAGAAAGUGACUCCAGAGAACAUGGGAAAGACUGGAAGUGAGGGGAACUGUGUAUUGGACUGGGGUUGGGGGAAGUUCAGGAGAAAAACCAAAGAGUGUGCAGAUCGGGGAGUAUAUAGGAGAAAAAGGCAUUUAGGGCAGUAGUGAAGGAUAGUAGGAGCAGGCCUGAGUAGUGCAAGGUUCUAAAUAGAAAGUUGUUGCCAAAAUGGUAGUGUUUUCAUCCCCUUGGCAAUGAAAGGGGAAAUAUCACUACAAAUGUUUCACUGCAAAUAUCACUAGGUUGUGAACCUAGGUUGUAUCAUUGUUCACCUCCCCCUCCCCACCUUUUUGGUCAUAUAUCUAACAGGAUAUAUGCCAGGACAACAAAUGUUUGCCUUUCCCCCUAGAGCAUCAUUAACAUAAUUACUCAAAUAAGAGUCCCCUUUGAUUAAGUAAUAGAAAAGUUGAGUUCACAUCUGUGCAGGUGGACCCAUGUGCCUCCAUAAGCUGUGGAGUUUUGAGAAGCAAUGAGCUUUUAUUCUUCUCAUUUUUCAUUAUGAUAUCCUGGACUUACGCUGGGUUUCCUGAGUGACAUGACUAUGUGUUUGCAACAGUAAAAGGGUGAAGUUGCAGACAUCUGGCAAUUAUUAGUAUGUAAAAUAACAAAAACAAGAAAAAUGUACUGAAGCAAAUCAUCACGCACUUUUUCUGUGAGAUCAAACAUUGUAGUAACAAAAAAUGACAUCAAACAGAACAAACUAAAACAAUGAGCCUGGUGCAUAUAAUCUACUUUUCUGAUUAUUGAUUUUGGUGACCCCAUGUACUCCUCUAGCUCAUAGUUCUGUCAUAAGCAUUAUAUUUUAUAUCAUUUAUUAGAGUAUUUUUAAAGCAUAACAAUCUGUUUUAAUUACACUUAAGUCUCUGGAUAGUUUUAAUAUUUGUAUUUUUAAUCAAUAGAAAUACAUCUUGAUUAUGUCUUUGGAAAUGUAUUUGUAGAGCUUAAAAUACAGCUGAAAUCAUGUGGCUUUCCAAUAGACUCCUUUGAAAAAGUGCUUUACUUUGCAGAAUUAUAAGCCAGAAAGUACUAUGGCAUUAAGUUAUUGCAAAGCAUUGUGAUUUAUCCAGUAAAACACAUGGCUACAGACCUUGUAAGCUUCUUAUAUUUAGCUACAUCCCCCUUACCCUCAGAGAAAAGUAAUCUCUGCAUUAUUAAUGUACCUCAAGAUUACUAAAUGAUCUACACAGUAGCCAGCCAAUAUGUGGUGGCCCCCAAUUUUAUGCUAUCUGUACUGGCACUGAUUUCAAGCAAUCACCCUUCCACCAUUGCCCCCUCCUCUCCAUGCUUGGAAAGAUGCUUGCUCCCUCUUCUGGCCUUGUUUUGCUAGGAAAGGUUUUGGUAAUAGAGCACACAUUCUUUGUCAUGCCACAUUUUGAGCUGACCUUCCUGCUGGACAUGCCUAAAAUCAUACUCUUAGCAACACUUAACCCCAAUUCAUGUGGUCAUCAGAUUCGACUGGCCAUGGUAGAAUGUGGCCCAAAUAAAUCCUGAUGGGACUGGACUUGCUGUGAACUUCUCCCACUCUAAUACUGGACAAAAUAAUUGUAUGCUCCCCAGUAUCUCUUCAUGCAGGAAUGGAAGGCCUGUGUAGACAAGUGACUGACCCAUCCCAUUUUAGCCAAAUGUGGUUAUCAUAUGCCAAACACUGACAAGAACAAUUUAUCUUGAACAGUUUAUCUUGGGGGCCUACUGCUUCAUCAUUAACUAGGAGUUAACCUGCUUUGUGAUGACAGAAGUCUCUAAAAUCCCCUUUUCAAGCACUAUGGAAUACUGAUCUUACCUGGCUCAUUUGCAGAGAUCUCACACUUCACCAAACCAAUUAUGACCACAUGAAACCUCCGAACUACUUAUUCUAACCUAGUUGCCACUUUCCAGUUUUCUAAAUCAAGCAAAGUUCUCAAACACCCGAGCGUCUCACUGGGAUGUUCUAUUGGAUUUGCAAUUGUGUUCAAUUUGAUUAUUUGAAGUCAGUAGGUCACUUGAAUACCAUCAACUAUCCUAUUAAAAGAUGCUGGUUGCCACACUUUUUUCCCCUUCUGCUUUCGUUUGGCAGCUUAAUGGUUCUCAGCCUUGCUCCUGGUUGUUUAUGGGGGGAUUUUAUUUGCUGCCAUCCCUCCCCCUUUUUCACUAGACUCUUGAAUGAUUUGGGAGUGCUAAGGUACCCAGUGCACUAUUACUAAGCUCCUGAUAAAUAUUUGCUGAGGAUGAUGAUAUUUACAUUUUUAAUGUCUUCAGAGUUUAGAAUUUUGACUUGGACAAUAUUUUGAAUUUUAGGGUUUAGAUUAGGUUAGGUGUCUUAAUGGGGUUCUUGUUCAGAUUUCUUCAUAUUCCAAGUGUAGUAGAAAAUAGAGGUUACUAUUUUCUUAAGCAACCACUAAUGCUGAAAGAAAACAUCAGUACAUGCAUGCGUUUCACUUCAAAUUCAUCAUUUAACAUCAGCCACCCCCAUUUUGAGGACUGAUAGCUGAUUUGAAGGAGCCCUCUGAGAAUUUGAUUCCAUAGUCCUUUCUAGGGCACCAGGUAAAUCCUCCUAAGAACAGCAGCUCCUGUUCUCUCCCUCUCCUGAAUGGAAGCAGACUAUCUGAUUCCCAUCCAGCCAUUCUCAGGGAGUUCAUUUUUCAGAGACUCAAAUGAGUGGUGAAAUAGGUAAUCCCAGAGCAUUUGGGGGAACAAUUUUUGGGGGGGAAUAUGAGUUUUCUUUCUUUAGAAUGGAAUUUCAUCAGUGCCAGGCUAGCCCAGACCACAGGAAGUUUACGAAUGCCUUUGUGAUGGCUGGCAGGCUGGGUGAGAGUCAAAGUGGAGGUCCGCACUUGAGCAGCAGGACACUGGCUGAGAAGGUGAGUCAGCUUCUAAGGCCUUUUGGACUUGACUAGCAAGGAAAGCUGAGAGUAGGGACUAUCUCAGCUGUCAAUGUGUCUCAUGAUGACAUCCACAGAAUUGUGUUCCUGAAGGUGAUGCUAUAAAUGUCAGAGUCUAAAAGAUCUUGCAACCAUUUUAUAAAUCCAUACAGGCACCUUAACCCUUAGAACUGAAGUCACUUGUUAAUAUGUAAAUGGUGGCUUCUCAGUCUAUCCCCAAAUAAAAAUAUAUCUUAUAAAUGUUACCAAACAUUUAAAAUAAUCAUAAAAUAGUUUACAUACUUCAUUAUUUGGCUCAGAGUUCUGAUGGUGAAGCAAAGUGCAGCUCUUUCCCUCCCUCUCAUUCUAACUGGAACAUGGUCCUUAUCAAAGCGCCGACACCGCAGGAGCACUGAGGCUGACAUAAAACCUGUCUGACACAUUUUCUGAUAAGGCAGGAAUGUACUUUUCAGAUCUCUUGAACAUGGCCUUUCUCAUCUGUCACCACUAUAUUUCUUCACUUUACUGGCCUAGGGGAAAAAUACUAUAUUCUAGGACUUUUCUUACAGGUUCAUAUCUCAUUGGCUGUUGGUUCAAUGUCUUGCUCACCCAAUGAGAAGGCCAAAACGCUGAUGAAAGGCCUUGCUCACUCAGUGCUCUCAGAAGGCAGAACUCAUCAGCUGACUUGCCAGUCACCCUCGCCACAGACACUGGCUUAAAAGGGCAUCAGCUCCCAAUUUCUCACUGGAGGAGGUGACUUCAUCCCAGCCCCCACUAAGCCCAGAACCAGCCUUGGUUGUGAUGCGUACCCAGAGGUACUACCAGCCCUUAGAGAAAUUUCUGCAAUGACUGAGCUUCUGGACAGAAUUCGGCCAGGCUUGAACCCGAGAAGAGAUGCCCCAUGAAGUCCUUUUUUGGGCAGCACCAAAAAUCUGCCAGCAGAAGUCUCAGCUCCCAGCGGUUUCUCUUCUUCUGGCCAGCCUCCGCUCUCUGAUCCAUGAAAAGAAAACUCUUCCAGGCUGGAAAGAGACUGCAGCUCCUUUGGGGGUGUUCUGCACGGCGUGC